AUGUUUCGGGAGGCUUGGGCAACCAAAGCUUCAGAAAAACAGGCUGAAUUUAAUAAUUUUCUUAAGGGUACUAUUGUUUUCCUUAUGUAUAUACUUUUCCUCGGAAACGAACCUAUCAAUGUUCCAAAUUCUAUUAUCUUAAGUAUUGUUGCAGUGGCAGAAGUAAAAUGGGUAAUCAGAGCAGACAAGGAUAGGAAGACCAAAUUCUGUUGUGUUCAGCCUAAUGUUGUUGAGCAAUAUUUGUGA
rnacentral:lncRNA from 1 species